rnacentral:rRNA from 1 species
CCUACGGGCGGCAGCAGUGGGGAAUAUUGGACAAUGGGGGCAACCCUGAUCCAGCCAUGCCGCGUGUGUGAAGAAGGCCCUCGGGUUGUAAAGCACUUUCAGUGAGGAAGAACGCCUGGUGGUUAAUACCCAUCAGGAAAGACAUCACUCACAGAAGAAGCACCGGCUAACUCCGUGCCAGCAGCCGCGGUAAUACGGAGGGUGCGAGCGUUAAUCGGAAUUACUGGGCGUAAAGCGCGCGUAGGUGGCUUGAUAAGCCGGUUGUGAAAGCCCCGGGCUCAACCUGGGAACGGCAGCCGGAACUGUCAAGCUAGAGUGCAGGAGAGGAAGGUAGAAUUCCCGGUGUAGCGGUGAAAUGCGUAGAGAUCGGGAGGAAUACCAGUGGCGAAGGCGGCCUUCUGGACUGACACUGACACUGAGGUGCGAAAGCGUGGGUAGCAAACAGGAUUAGAUACCCGGGUAGUC